GACGAACGCUGGUUGCGUGCUUAACACAUGCAAGUCGAACGGAAAGGCCCUGCUUUUGUGGGGUGCUCGAGUGGCGAGCGGGUGAGUAACACGUGAGUAACCUGCCCUUGACUUUGGGAUAACUUCAGGAAACUGGGGCUAAUACCGGAUAGGAGCUCCUGCUGCAUGGUGGGGGUUGGAAAGUUUCGGCGGUUGGGGAUGGACUCGCGGCUUAUCAGCUUGUUGGUGGGGUAGUGGCUUACCAAGGCUUUGACGGGUAGCCGGCCUGAGAGGGUGACCGGCCACAUUGGGACUGAGAUACGGCCCAGACUCCUACGGGAGGCAGCAGUGGGGAAUAUUGCACAAUGGGCGGAAGCCUGAUGCAGCAACGCCGCGUGCGGGAUGACGGCCUUCGGGUUGUAAACCGCUUUCGCCUGUGACGAAGCGUGAGUGACGGUAAUGGGUAAAGAAGCACCGGCUAACUACGUGCCAGCAGCCGCGGUGAUACGUAGGGUGCGAGCGUUGUCCGGAUUUAUUGGGCGUAAAGGGCUCGUAGGUGGUUGAUCGCGUCGGAAGUGUAAUCUUGGGGCUUAACCCUGAGCGUGCUUUCGAUACGGGUUGACUUGAGGAAGGUAGGGGAGAAUGGAAUUCCUGGUGGAGCGGUGGAAUGCGCAGAUAUCAGGAGGAACACCAGUGGCGAAGGCGGUUCUCUGGGCCUUUCCUGACGCUGAGGAGCGAAAGCGUGGGGAGCGAACAGGCUUAGAUACCCUGGUAGUCCACGCUGUAAACGGUGGGUACUAGGUGUGGGGUCCAUUCCACGGGUUCCGUGCCGUAGCUAACGCUUUAAGUACCCCGCCUGGGGAGUACGGCCGCAAGGCUAAAACUCAAAGGAAUUGACGGGGCCCCGCACAAGCGGCGGAGCAUGCGGAUUAAUUCGAUGCAACGCGUAGAACCUUACCUGGGUUUGACAUGGAUCGGGAGUGCUCAGAGAUGGGUGUGCCUCUUUUGGGGUCGGUUCACAGGUGGUGCAUGGCUGUCGUCAGCUCGUGUCGUGAGAUGUUGGGUUAAGUCCCGCAACGAGCGCAACCCUUGUUCACUGUUGCCAGCACGUUAUGGUGGGGACUCAGUGGAGACCGCCGGGGUCAACUCGGAGGAAGGUGGGGAUGACGUCAAGUCAUCAUGCCCCUUAUGUCCAGGGCUUCACGCAUGCUACAAUGGCUGGUACAGAGAGUGGCGAGCCUGUGAGGGUGAGCGAAUCUCGGAAAGCCGGUCUCAGUUCGGAUUGGGGUCUGCAACUCGACCUCAUGAAGUCGGAGUCGCUAGUAAUCGCAGAUCAGCAACGCUGCGGUGAAUACGUUCCCGGG
rnacentral:rRNA from 1 species